AACGAAUCCCCUUGAACCUGUAUGAAGAAAGACCAUGAAGGCAUAACAACUUCUAAGACUCCUCGGAGGGCACUACAAGUAUCCCACUCCAGACCUGUGGACUGGGUAGCAGGAGGCAGAAAGAGACAAACCACAAACGAUCGAACAAUGAUCUGGCAUUGAUUCACAGGGACAACUGGGUCACCUGGGCCUUCGUGGUCUCCAGGUACAGCAUCCCUUCCUGUCGGGGCCACCACAUGGGGUUCAAGGACACCUAUGGUACUUAGUCCUCUACUUAGAGCACCAAAAGGAUGCCAGGUGCCAAGUACAUGCGUGGUGUUCUAAUUCUUUAACCUGAGUUGCUCGGUGGCUGAUCCACCUACAUGGUGACAUCAGAGCAAGUAGCGAGCUCCCCCAGCACUGGCCCGGCUGGGUUCAAGUCAACGUUCUUCAUUCCCCAGGGCACAUUCAGCACAACUGUACUCGCUCCACCACUGUGCACACUCAGCGCCUGCCCUGGGCAAGAGGCUCUCUGACCCAGUGAAUAUGUUUGGCUAGAAAUGCCCUAAAGUUAACUUUGUAAAAGGGGGAGAAAGAUAUUCAUGGUAGGAAAAUAAAAUUCACGGUUUUGUUUCUUUCAAAAAAAUAAAGUCUUCUUACCUAAUGACAAGUACUACAAAA